AUGGCAGUCAAUUGCUUGGAGAACACCCAGGAGAGCAUGCCAACAGGAAUGCCACCUGUUAUUCCUUGCGUGACUAGUGGAAAGACAUGCGGUCCUACCUGUGUGUGAAGAGAUCUAAUCCCUUUCUUCUAUCAUUAGAGCAGGUGAUUCUGGCUCACGUAUUUUGUGUACAUUGAAAGUUUACACUGACAGCAAGCAGAUGCUCAUAUCGCAUGAGUCUAUCCCGUAAGAGAGGAGAACCAGGAGGCUAAAAAAGGCAGAGAGUAUCGGAGAAAAGACACCUGCAGGGAAAGACAAUUUCAUCAGUCUCCAGCCCUUGUGAUCAUGUCCCAAAAUGACUAGUCAGGUGAAGCCCUAGCUGAAGAUUGCUUGUCACCUGUAGGAAGUAGCUGUCUGCUGACAGCAUCUCAAACGGAAGUAACGGGCUUCCAAGUUCAUCUCCGAAGGUUACUUCAAAAACCCUGUCAGAGCACUCCUCCUCGAGUGAUUCACUGCCGCAAAUGGCCUGUGGUUAAAAACAAUGGUUUCUUAAAAGUCCUACACCAGCAUGGUUGUGAUGAUUUAAGGCAGUCAGAAGAAGGCAGCUUGAUGUACAUCCACCAGUGAAGACGGAGAGAUAAUUCUGCACUAGAUCUAGAAUCAUCAGUUUGCUAUUUCUCAUUUAAUGGAUCUUGCAAUUUUGUUCCAAAUCUAGAAGACU
rnacentral:lncRNA from 1 species